CAGAACAGGAGAGAGAACAUUUAGAAAUGUUACUGAACUGACUAGUGUUUCUAAAAUGUGUUCUUGAACUACUGCUUUUUUAUAAUCUUUUUUUUGUUUGCUAGAACAAAAUUUCACACUUUAUAUUAGGUGUCUUACUACUUUAACAUUACAAUACAUACAACACAAUGUAUUUAUAGUAUAAUGAUAUGUUGUACUGCAUUCUCACAAGAUUGAUGUUACAAAGGUUGAAGUACAUUACGGUUAUUUGAGGUAGGGUUUAGGGUAAGGGUUAUGGUAGGGUUUAGGGUAAGGGUUGAGGUAGGGUUAAGGGUUGAGGUAGGGUUUAGGGUAAGGGUUGAGGUUAGGGUGUGAGGUUAAGGUUUAGGGUAAGGGAUGAGGUUAGGGUUUAAGUUGAGGUGUGAGGUAGGGUUUAGGGUAAGGGAUGAGGUUUGGGUUUAAGUUGAGGUGUGAGGUAGGGUUUAGGGUAAGGGAUGAGGUUAGGGUUUAAGUUGAGGUGUGAGGUAGGGUUUAGGGUAAGGGAUGAGGUUUGGGUUUAAGUUGAGGUGUGAGGUAGGGUUUAGGGUAAGGGAUGAGGUUAGGGUUUAGGUUGAGGUGUGAGGUAGGGUUUAGGGUAAGGGAUGAGGUUAGGGUUUAGGUUGAGGUGUGAGGUUAGGAUUUAAGUUGAGGUGUGAGGUUAGGGUUUAGAUUGAGGUGUGAGGUUAGGGUUUAGGGUAAGGGAUGAGGUUAGGGUUUAGGUUGAGGUGUGAGGUAGGGUUUAGGGUAAGGGAUGAGGUUAGGGUUUAGGUUGAGGUGUGAGGUAGGGUUUAGGUAGGGUUUAGGGUAAGGGAUGAGGUUAAGGUUGAGGUGUGAGGUUAUGGUUUAGGGUAAGGGAUGAGGUUAGGGUUUAAGUUGAGGUGUGAGGUAGGGUUUAGGGUAAGGGAUGAGGUUUGGGUUUAAGUUGAGGUGUGAGGUAGGGUUUAGGGUAAGGGAUGAGGUUAGGGUUUAGGUUGAGGUGUGAGGUAGGGUUUAGGUAGGGUUUAGGGUAAGGGAUGAGGUUAAGGUUGAGGUGUGAGGUUAUGGUUUAGGGUAAGGGAUUAGGUUUAGGUUGAGGUGUGAGGUAGGGUUUAGGUAGGGUUUAGGGUAAGGGAUGAGGUUAAGGUUGAGGUGUGAGGUUAUGGUUUAGGGUAAGGGAUUAGGUUUAGGUUGAGGUGUGAGGUUAGGGUUUAGGGUAAGGGAUGAGGUUUAGGUUGAGGUGUGAGGUUAGGGUUUAGGUAGGGUUUAGGGUAAAGGAUGAGGUUGAGGUUGAGGUGUGAGGUUAGGGUUUAGGGUAAGGGUUGAGGUAGGGUUUAGGGUAAGGGAUGGGGUUUAGGUUGAGGUGUGAGGUUAGGGUUUAGGGUAAGGUUUGAGGUAGGGUUAAGGGUUGAGGUAGGGUUUAGGGUAAGGGAUGAGGUUAAGGUUUAGGUUGAGGUGUGAGGUUAGGGUUUAGGGUAAGGUUUGAGGUAGAGUUAAGGGUUGAGGUAGGGUUUAGGGUAAGGUUUGAGGUUAAGGUUGAGGUUGAGGUGUGAGGUUAGGGUUUAGGGUAAGGGAUGAGGUUAAGCUUUAGGUUGAGGUGUGAGGUUAGGGUUUAGGGUAUGGGUUGAGGUUGAGGUUGAGGUGUGAGGUAGGGUUUAGGGUAAGGGAUGGGGUUUAGGUUGAGGUGUGAGGUUAGGGUUUAGGUAGGGUUUAGGGUAAGGGAUGAGGUUAAGGUUGAGGUUGAGGUGUGAGGUUAGGGUUUAGGGUAAGGUUUGAGGUAGGGUUUAGGGUAAGGGCUGCUCAUGAUUUCCUACAUAUUACAAUUCAGAGUUAAACUUUUUUAAUGAGUUAAUAAUUACAGAGUGCACCUUCAAGUCUUAUGUUCAUUGAAUUUAAUUUAUUUCACAUUUUUUAUUAAGCAUUAAACAAAAUUUUAGAAAGUUUAUGCUUAAAACAACAUGAUCACAGGGCAGCUUGAAAGUUUCGGUGCCCUGACAUUUAGGCCAUUCUGACGAGUUACUGACAAGCACCAUUUCCCAUUAGACAUCUUUGCAUCAACAAAUUUGUGUUUACUUUUUCCUGUAGCGCAACUGAUAGUGUGUUCCAUUAGCAGCCUCCAAGACACAGGUUCUGGUCCCAUGGGAACCAGGAAUUAAUCAUGUUCACUUAAAAAAUUUAUGAGCUCGAUUCAGAGGUUGCAUUGUCCUGUAAGAUUAAACAUUUAUUCCACUAACUGUUAGGUUUAGGUUUGGUGUUUGGGUUAGGGCAUGUGAUUAAUGCAUUCUUUUGGACUAUUACAUAAUUAACAACUAAUAAACAACUUGCUUUUGGCGCCCCUCUGUGGACAUUUCACCUGGAAACUGGAGCUCACAAAUACGUUUAACAACACUUACAGCUUUGGCCACCGGGGGCAGUGAUUCGAAUUUCAGUAAGCACAGAUUGAUUUCAGCAGAACAACUUUCUAUAUACCGUCGCUGAAUUCACACUGAGAUCAGUCUGUUUUAAACAAGAAACAAUACUUUGCCAAAAGGGUAAGCUAAACUUAAUUCAAUAUAUAUUACCUGAAAACAAGACUUUUUCACAUAAACAAUUUUGCUUCUUAAGUAAAUGUAUCUUUUUUUAAGGACCUUUGGGUGGUUUUACUGGAAAACAACAACAAAAAUACUGAUAAAUAAAAUGAUUUUUUGCUGUGCACAUUUUAAUCUGCAGAAUUAAUGAUAAAAUCAGCAUAAAAACAUCUAUCUGGGUCUGGUUAAUCUAGCCUAUGUCACAGGAAUUUGAUUCUUAGAGACACAUCAUCAUCUAUUUGCAAGCUCCUUCACACCUUUGCCCUUAUUUACAGGACUUUCACUACACAUGUGCUGAUAUGAUUGCUUGCUGAUCUAGACACCAAAGCAUGACACAUCAUUAUCUUAUCAAGUGAAAGAAAGAUAAGAGCAAACUCAUAACUCAAAGAGGUUUGUACCGGU